AACGAACGCUGGCGGCAUGCCUAACACAUGCAAGUCGAACGAAGGCCCCAGCUUGCUGGGUAACCUUAGUGGCGGACGGGUGAGUAACGCGUGGGAACCUGCCUUGGAGUGAAGGAUAACCACUGGAAACGGUGGCUAAUACUGCAUAAUCCCUUAGGGGGAAAGGCUUCGGUCGCUCUUAGAUGGGCCCGCGUUAGAUUAGCUUGUUGGUGAGGUAAAGGCUCACCAAGGCGACGAUCUAUAGCUGGUCUGAGAGGAUGAUCAGCCACACUGGGACUGAGACACGGCCCAGACUCCUACGGGAGGCAGCAGUGGGGAAUAUUGGACAAUGGGGGAAACCCUGAUCCAGCAAUGCCGCGUGAGUGAAGAAGGCCCUAGGGUUGUAAAGCUCUUUCACUGAUGAAGAUGAUGACGGUAAUCAGAGAAGAAGCCCCGGCUAACUCCG
rnacentral:rRNA from 1 species